AGUGACGUCAGCCGAGCGCCGAGGCCCCUGGUCGUUUACGUGAGCGUCGCUCAGUGGGGAUCGCUGCGUCCGCUCCGUGUGUCUCUGUGGAGCUGGUCCUGUGGUCGCUGAGCGGCGAAGCCCUUCCCGAGCGGUCGCCUCGGGGCGGUUCCCGGCGGCCGCGGCAGGACGGCGCGAGCCCGCACGGCGGCGGACGGCGACGCGGGCCGGCCGCGUGGAGUGACCUACAGCAAACUGCAGCACUGAACAUCUGGCAUUCCCUGCUUCCAGUGCCUGAACCAGGAAAAAAAAAAAAGGAAAAAAAAAAAAAACACCCUAAAACCAUUUCUUCCGGAAUACUCAGCACCCAGCAUUCGCCGUGGGCGGGGCUCUCCCUGGACGCCAGCAGGCUUCAGUGUUAGUGCGCAGGUGCGAACUGCACAUCCGGGGCUCUGUUACUAGGGACGAGAAGAUGGCGAUGGCUUCAGCAACUGUGGUGGUUCCUGCGCAGUGGAUCAAGAACUGGGAGAAAUCUGGGAGAGGCGAGUUUUUGCGUUUAUGCCGGAUUCUCAGUGAAAGUAAAAGCCGCGACACUUUAGCUUCUAGAGAGUUCCAACAAGCUCUCUAUGAGUUGUCAUAUCAUGUCAUUAAAGGAACUUUAAAGCCCGAACAGGCAUCAAAUGUUCUUAGUGACAUCAGUGAAUUUCGAGAAGAUAUUCCGUUUAUUCUUGCUGAUAUAUUCUGCAUAUUAGAUAUUGAGACAAAUUGUUUAGAAGAAAAAAGCAAGAGAGAUCAUUUUACACAAUUGGUAUUAGCGUGUUUAUAUUUAGUUUCCGAUACAGUUCUAAAGGAACGCUUGGAUCCAGAAACAUUGGAAUCAUUAGGCCUUAUCAAACAAUCACAGCAGUUCAAUCAAAAGUCAGUCAAAAUCAAAACGAAACUCUUUUAUAAACAGCAGAAGUUCAAUUUGUUAAGAGAAGAAAAUGAAGGUUAUGCCAAGCUGAUUGUUGAGUUGGGACAAGAUUUAUCUGGAAAUAUUACUAGUGAUUUGAUCUUAGAAAUUCUUAAGUCUUUAAUUGGAUGCUUUAAUCUGGAUCCCAAUAGAGUUUUGGAUAUCAUUUUAGAAGUGUUUGAGUACAGGCCAGAACACCAUGAUUUCUUUAUAUCAUUAUUAGAAGCAUACAUGAGUAUGUGUGAACCACAAACAUUGUGUCAUAUUCUUGGGUUCAAAUUCAAGUUUUACCAGGAGCCUAAUGGUGAGACUCCGCCGUCCUUGUACAGAGCUGCAGCAGUGCUCCUGCAGUUCAGUCUUAUCGAUCUGGAUGACCUCUAUGUGCACCUUCUUCCGGCUGACAGCUGUAUCAUGAAUGAAUACAAACGAGACAUUGUGGAAGCCAAGCAAAUUGUGAAAAAGCUCACAAUGGUAGUAUUGCCUUCUGAAAAAAGUGAUGAGCGAGAGAAAGAAAAGAAAAAAGAUGAUAAGGUAGAGAAGGCAACUGAUAAUCAAAAGCUUGGUUUGUUGGAAGCCUUGUUAGCUAUUGGUGAUUGGCAGCACGCGCAGAGCAUCAUGGAUCGGAUGCCUCCAUACUAUGCAGCAUCGCAUAGAGUAAUAGCCCAUGCUAUUUGCAAUCUUAUACACAUAACUAUUGAGCCUCUUUACCGGAGAGUUGGUGUUCCUAAGGGUGCCAAGGGCUCACCUGUCAAUGUUUUACGAAACAGGAAGGCACCAAAGCAAGCAGAGAGCUUUGAAGACUUAAGGAGAGAUGUAUUCAGUAUGUUCUGUUACCUUGGUCCUCAUCUUUCUCACGAUCCCAUCUUAUUUGCAAAGGUUGUGCGUAUAGGCAAGUCAUUUAUGAAGGAAUUUCAGUCUGAUGGGAAACAGGAAAAUAAAGAAAAAAUGGAAGUCAUCCUUAGUUGUUUGCUUAGUGUUACUGACCAAGUACUGCUUCCAUCUCUUUCUUUGAUGGAUUGCAAUGCAUGCAUGUCAGAGGAACUAUGGGGAAUGUUUAAAACAUUUCCUUAUCAGCAUAGAUACCGCUUGUAUGGCCAGUGGAAGAAUGAGACUUAUAACAGCCAUCCACUUUUAGUAAAAGUUAAAGCUCAUACAAUUGACAGAGCCAAAUACAUCAUGAAGCGUCUAACCAAGGAAAAUGUGAAGCCUUCUGGAAGACAGAUUGGAAAACUGAGCCACAGCAAUCCAACCAUUUUAUUUGAUUAUAUCUUGUCACAAAUACAGAAGUAUGAUAACUUAAUAACACCUGUGGUAGAUUCAUUGAAAUACCUCACUGCAUUGAAUUAUGAUGUUUUAGCCUAUUGUAUCAUUGAAGCACUUGCUAAUCCAGAAAAAGAAAGAAUGAAACAUGAUGAUACAACCAUCUCAAACUGGCUUCAGAGUCUGGCUAGUUUUUGUGGUGCGGUUUUUCGUAAAUACCCGAUUGAUCUUGCUGGUCUUCUUCAGUAUGUAGCCAAUCAAUUAAAGGCAGGCAAAAGUUUUGACCUGCUUAUAUUAAAAGAAGUGGUACAAAAAAUGGCAGGAAUAGAAGUUACAGAGGAAAUGACAAUGGAGCAGCUGGAGGCUAUGACUGGUGGGGAGCAGCUGAAAGCUGAAGGUGGAUAUUUUGGCCAGAUUAGAAACACUAAAAAGUCGUCUCAGAGACUGAAAGAUGCACUGCUGGACCAUGAUCUUGCCCUUCCUCUUUGUUUGCUUAUGGCUCAGCAGAGGAAUGGGGUGAUCUUUCAGGAAGGUGGAGAGAAGCAUUUGAAACUUGUAGGAAAGCUAUAUGACCAGUGUCAUGACACUUUGGUACAGUUUGGUGGGUUUUUAGCAUCAAAUCUCAGCACAGAUGAUUACAUAAGGAGAGUACCUUCGAUUGACGUGCUUUGUAAUGAGUUCCACACACCCCACGAUGCAGCAUUUUUUCUGUCACGGCCAAUGUAUGCCCAUCACAUUUCAUCAAAGUAUGAUGAACUUAAGAAGUCAGAGAAGGGUAGUAAACAACAGCAUAAAGUUCAUAAGUACAUCACGGCGUGUGAGAUGGUGAUGGCUCCUGUCCACGAAGCAGUGAUAUCCUUGCAUGUUUCCAAAGUCUGGGAAGAUAUCAGCCCUCAGUUCUACACCACAUUCUGGUCUCUGACAAUGUAUGACCUUGCAGUUCCACAUACCAGCUAUGAACGAGAAGUCAAUAAACUGAAGGUCCAGAUGAAAGCAAUUGAUGACAACCAGGAAAUGCCCCUAAAUAAAAAGAAAAAGGAGAAAGAGCGCUGCACUGCCCUUCAGGACAAGCUUAUUGAAGAAGAAAAGAAACAGAUGGAGCACGUACAGCGAGUUCUACAGAGACUGAAAUUGGAAAAGGACAACUGGCUCUUAGCAAAGUCUACUAAAAAUGAGACCAUCACAAAGUUCCUGCAGUUGUGUAUAUUUCCUCGAUGUAUUUUUUCAGCAAUUGAUUCUGUUUACUGUGCUCAUUUUGUUGAGUUAGUCCAUCAGCAGAAGACUCCAAAUUUCUCCACACUUCUCUGCUAUGACAGAGUUUUUUCAGACAUAAUUUACAUGGUGGCUAGCUUUACUGAAAAUGAAGCUAGUCGAUAUGGGAGGUUUCUUUGCUGCAUGUUAGAGACCGUGACGCGGUGGCACAGUGACAGGUCCACCUAUGAGAAGGAGUGUGGAAACUACCCAGGAUUCCUCACUAUAUUACGAGCCACUGGCUUUGACGGUGGCAAUAAAGCAGACCAGUUGGACUAUGAGAAUUUCCGGCAUGUUGUCCACAAAUGGCAUUACAAGCUAACCAAGGCAUCAGUACAUUGCCUUGAAACCGGUGAAUAUACUCACAUCAGGAAUAUCUUGAUUGUGCUAACAAAAAUACUGCCUUGGUACCCCAAAGUUUUAAAUCUGGGUCAGGCUUUGGAAAGAAGGGUGCAUAAAAUCUGCCAAGAAGAGAAAGAGAAGAAACCAGAUCUCUAUGCACUAGCUAUGGUCUACUCUGGGCAGCUGAAAAGUAGAAAGUCACACAUGAUACCUGAAAAUGAAUUCCAUCACAAAGACCCUCCUCCAAGAAAUGCUGCCACCAGUGUACAAAAUGGGCCUUAUAGUGGGCUGCCUUCAUCUGUGGGAAGUACAUCUAAAUCAGAUGAGAGCGUGACUGAGGAGGCUGAGAAGUCUCGGGAAAGAGCCCAGUGUGCAGUGAAAACUGUUAACAAAGCUUCCAGUGUUGCACCAAAAGGGAAUCCAAGCAAUGGAAACAGUGGCUCUAACACCAAAGCUGUGAAGGAAAAUGACAAAGAAAAAGGCAAAGAGAAAGAAAAAGAGAAAAAAGAAAAGACCCCAGUGGUUACUCCAGAGGCUAGGGUACCUGGUAAAGACAGUAAAGAAAAACCCAAGGAAGAACAGCCGAAUAAAGAUGAAAAAAUAAGAGAGACCAAGGAAAGAAUGCCUAAAUGUGACAAAGAUAAGGAAAAAUUAAAGAAGGAAGAAAAAGCUAAAGAUGAGAAAUUCAGGGUCAUUGUCCCCAGUGUAGAAUCAAAAUCUACUCAAGAAAAGGAAAAAGAGAAAGAGCCAUCAAGAGAAAGAGAUUUAGGAAAGGAAAUGAAGUCAAAAGAGAAUGUGAAAGGAGGAGAAAAAGCACCAGUGUCUGUGUCCUUGAAGUCACCUGUUUCCCGAGCAGAGACCACAGAACCCGAAAGAGAAAAGCGUCGAAAGCUUGAUUCCCAUCCUUCUCCAUCACAUUCCUCCACAGUGAAGGACAGUCUUGUCAAACUCAAGGAGUCCUCAGCAAAGCUCUACACCAACCACGCUCCACCAGCACUAUGCAAGAGUAAAGAGAGAGAAACAGACAAGAAAGACUUGGACAAAUCAAGGGAAAGAUCCAGAGAAAGGGAGAAAAAGGAGGAAAAGGACCGCAAAGAGCGGAAAAGGGAUUAUUCCAACAAUGACCGUGAAGCUCCCCUCGACUUAAUCAAGAGACGGAAAGAUGAAAAUGGAAUAUUAGGGGUUUCAAAACACAAAAGUGAAAGUCCCUGCGAGUCUUAUACAAAUGAGAAAGACAAGGAAAAAAAUAAGUCAAAAUCCUCAGGUAAAGAAAAAGGUGAUUCAUUUAAACCUGAGAAGAUGGAUAAAAUAUCAAGCGGGAAAAAGGAUUCUGGGCACGAUAAGGAAAAGAUAGAGAAGAAGGAAAAGUGGGACGGCUCUGGAGAUAAGGAGGAGAAGAAGCACCAUAAGUCCUCAGACAAGCACAGAUAAUGGAGACUCAGCCAAGAGUGUGUGCAGGCCUCUGAGCUGACGGUCCCCUGCAGAGGAUGCCAGAGUUCUGUAUCACUCUCUAAACACUGUCCCUUAACUGAGAGCUUGUGGUGCUGUCCAUCUUGUGAGGAUGCUAAAGUCAGAAGAUGAAUGCGCAUUGCCGUCCUCUCGAGACAUUGCAGACUCACUGGCUUGCUGAACAUUACUUUCACCUCCGGGCAGCUUUCUUGCAGCAAGAUCCUUGUGCGUACAAUUUUUUUUUCUUGAAAUAAUACCACCUCGAAACAGCAUCUAUGAAAGUUUCACUAGUCGAGUCUUGGAUCAGCCUUCUUAGAAAGGGGAAAAUUCUCUUUUCUUCAAUGGAGGACUUCUGGAAGGCCUGCUGUUCAUUUACCAGUAUAGAAGAAGUAGGCUAUGGUGAGUGGUUAAAGUAACUGUUCUACCUUCAAAAAGGGUUCAGUACCAGUUAUAGAAAAUCCUGUGGGUACCUUGCAGCAAUUUGGGUCUUUCAUACAUUACUUAUUUAAUCUCCAUAGCAGUGUUCCAAGGUAAGUACCAAUACUUUGUAUAAAUGAUGCAGAUUAGAUACAGGAUGUCAUAUUGUCACAUAGCUAAGGAAUUUGAGAAGGGAUUUUGUGUGUUUUGUGGCAGCCAUUCUUUAUUAUAGUUUAUUAUUUACUCUAUAUUAUGAUAUAGCAGAUACUGAGACUCUCCUAGGGUAUAUAAGACAUAAAAGGACAGAUUGUCCUGUGUUGUUUCAUGUAAUAAGAUGAUGGUAUGUAUUCCCAGCUCCCAAAAUAGUGCCUGGCAGAUCUUUCAAAGUCUGCUCUUGUAAAUUCAACUAAAGCUUUCCUUAGUCAUUAAAAAACCUUCAUAGUACAGCAGAUUCAAUGCAUUUCAUUUACAAAAAAAUAAAUAAAGGAUACCUUUAUUUGUAUUUACUAACUUUUGUCUCUUCUGAAUAACUCAGGCUUGAAGGCAGCUUUGUCAGAUACUAGUUUAACUAUUUGAGGUACUUAGAAUAUGGUUUUUCAUAUAAUAGAUUAAUCUGUUGAGAAUGGCAGAUAACCCAGGAUCCAGUCACAUCCCCAAAGCUCUUAUAAGAUGUGUGAUCAAGUUUUGAGUACAGAAAUCCUUCAGGGAGAUAUCCCAACUGCAGCAUUCCACCUCUGGCUCAAAAUUCUCAUGUCUGUCUUUUAAUAUAAAAAUACAUUCAGAUAUCUCAAAAUAUUCCCUAAAUCUUGCCAGUGCUAGUAUUGUUCAAAAAAUUCAAAGCAGACAUUUAUCUCUGUAAAACUCAAAAAUAUGUUAUUUUUCUAUGAUCGAAUGGCACAGAGUAAACAUCCUGUUACAACAGAGCAAGACUGGAACUCAGGAAGGCAGACGUAAAGUCCUUUGACUCCAUGUCUGGUACAUGGGGUACACUAUGGUAGUGAGCCUGUAGGCCCACAGAGGUCGUAGCAUGCCCUUCUCAUAGCAUUGUCCUUGGAAGCCCAUGUGACCUCACUUGUAGACCGACCCUGCCCAUUGCCCACAGCGUUUCAUAAUGUGUUCCACAUUCCUGGCAUGUCCAUGUCCUGGGCCCUCAGCUGAAGCCUCAGCUAUACUCUGUUUUGUGUCAUGCCACUCUUCUCAGGCUGCUUGCAGAGAUUCCAGCUCCUAUGUUCAUCUCCAAGGAUGAAUAUAUGGUUCCUUUAAAGUCUAGGUAAGCGCUAGAAGCUUUUCCCCUCACAAUCUUCUCAUUCUGAAAUUUCAAUAAAUGUAGUGGGGGAUUUGGGUCAUUUUAUCUCUCUUGCCCAGAAAGCACUUUGUGAAGGCUGAGUCCACCUCUGCCUUUCCUGCGAGUACCUGAGGUAGCAGUGGGCUAGUUUAUGGCACUCAUCUCCCAACAGAUCUGCAAUACAGUGAUUGCAUGAGCUGCCUCCAAGCUUCUCCUGCACCAGAAUUGAUAGACCAACUAGAAAGUUCCCUCCCACCUGGGGUGCUCUGCCUUUACACACAUGAGUGAGAGAGUUGGCUGGACAGUGCUCUAGUUCCAUCAGAUUCCUCUGGGGCACUAAGUGGGUAAGGUGAUCCCAAUCACAGUAAAUUGCACUCCCACACAUCUCCCAUAUCUCCAUGGACCUGUGUGCAGUUCAAAUCAUAGCCCAUUCCUGGGCCUGUGAUUCUCAGUGUGGUUGCUUACUCACCCGUUUGGGUGCGGAGGCUGUUGGGACUUAGGAUAGAGAAAUGCAGGGACUGCUGCAGAGGAAAUCCCUAUGUGGUUAGUUCCCCACCUUGGCUCUGGAAAGUACAGGAACCCCUUCUUGUUGUCUGCUCUCUACACACACCACACUUGUCAUAAACAUGCUGCAGUGCGCCAUUCUGUGUUUGCCUCUUGCAGGGUUUUCCUUCCCUUAUUUGCUGAAGACCCCAAUGUCACCAGGUGUCAAAAUUGUUUUUGUUUUUUUCUUCAAAUAUAAAGUGCAGCACUUGUGCAUGCUACACUACCCUCCUGUCCCUUGUGCCAUCUGCACUUGUUUCAGGCCUGCUGGGGUUGCAGGGCUGUGCUCAGAACCUCUCAUCUGCCACCUUCUGUCUGUAACGUGUGUUAAGAGUCACUAACGUGAGCUGGUGAAAGAAAUUAUCGCUCAGGCAGUUGCAGAGUACCCCUCCUGGCAUCCUCUUGUUAUCUCUGCCCUGAGCCAUCACUAUAGGCAGCGUCGUCUUUAAUAAUGUGUGCGGAUUCAGUGAUUAUCUAGAUCACUUUAUGGAAACUGUGUCAUCCAGAAUCUAUAUUUGCUAAAUUACACCAGAGUAUGCGUUUUUUGUUUGUUUGUUUGUUUGUUUGAUGACCGGAUUUCUCACCUACCCAGUUGAUCUUCUAUUUAGCUUCAUUUAGAUAGGAAUUUAGUAAAAUUCAGUUUUAGAGAGAAAGUACUAAAUCUCUAGAGCUGUUUUUUCCAUGUUUGACAGUGUUAAUACUUUGUAAUGCUGUAAUGCUCCUUUUUCUAGUGCCUAGAAAGCACAAGCACAUCCUCCCUCUGUGGUGCCUCUUCCGAUAGACUACCUCAUCUCACACCAAUGACAAGAGAGAUUUGUACAGCUCCUUCUGUGUAUCAGGCCCUGUUCAAAGAUGAUAAUAUCACCUCUCCCUCAGAAAGC